UCAAUGCGAUACGACACUCGUGCGACGUACGAGAUCAGUAUUCAACUACCCAUACGUUGACCACAUGGGUAAUAAAGUGACCUACCACACCUCUAUGUACAUGUAAUGGAUCACACCGUACGUUAACACAAACGAGCUACUAUUGAUUGUGUAGUUGGCGCGAACGAUGCAAUUGCAUCUCGCUCAACACGUUGGCAGACUGCCAGCUUUGAAGUAGAUCACGCCCUGCAACAGAUCAGAUCUCUCAAACUGUUUCGGCAGAAAUGGACGCUCACAGUGAUGAUUCUUACUACAGUUCAGCUGAAGAUGAGAACAUGGCUGUAGAGAGAAGUUUGAUGAACCUCAGAGACAUUGAGGCGAGAUGUAUGAGAGCAGCUCCUAUGUGCUACAUCGCAUCGAGUAAAUACGACAACAAAGGUUUCUAUAUCAGAUGUGCUGGAGCAGCAGCGUCUGGUGGGAUAUCAUUGCUUACAGCUUUUGCAGGUAGUGCAGUAAUGGAGCCUGUUGUUAAGCACUAUUUCCAGGUCCACAUUUCACAGUCUAAGUAUUUCCCACAUUUGACUGGAAUUGGAAUUUUCAUCGCCACUUUCCUUGGUAUGCUAAAAGCAACACACGGAGUUAUCGGAACAUGGUAUGACGAGAGGCUCAGAAGUACAACGAAGCUGCGGCCGAGUGGCAAGAACUGGAGCUACUGAUCAAAGCUUUCCUUGCUGCUGCUGUCAAAGGCACAAUUACAGUUGAAGCCUGCAAACUAUUCACAGAAGAGUGCGCGAAGAAACGCAAGAACAUAUGUCUUAUUGCUCGUCCAGAUCAAAAGGUCUACGAAAAGUUUGAACCUGAUAAUGAGCUCCUUAUCAAACGCCUGAAAAACAUCCGGGAAUUUCACGAGAAAAGGAGAGAAAUUCGUCUGUUCUAUCGCUUGUGCCUGCAUACUCCUCAUUUCGAAUAAUUACUUAAGGCACUUGGCACCAAUCAUCGCUUAGGGCGUGCUGUACAUAUGAAACAACAUUAUGCUAUGUCAUAUUUAUUCUCUUGUUAAACAUUGUUGUUUUCUACCUGCAGUAAAGCAUUCACGACAUACUAGUAUAUGCUUCACCUGCUGCUUUUCCUUGGACGCUAUGUAUUCUGUAAUGGAUUGUAUUAAUUUUGUUCUCCAGAAUUCCCCCCAAAAUAUAUUAUUUUCCCAUCAUGUCAGAUGGUUUCAUAAGACCUUUCUUAUUCUCCAUACUGAAAGGCCCCCGCAGGUCCAUAGUGCAUAUACUACAACGUGUCAUCAGAUAGGAUGCGCAAUUACGUUCUCACUGAUAUGGCAUGAAAAGUAUACACUGAUAAGUUACGACCUCAUUUCAUUGAUUUACUGGAUGAUUUUAUCAGUAAAACACACAUAUUUACAUUUUGAUGAACAAAAAACCGUUUCAUAUUUUUCAACUCAGUAUAUUUAGUAAAUACUAAUUAAAAGUAGUAUUCAUCAUGCACAAUUUAUUACAAAGGUUUGUCUUAGUGAUAUUCAUCACACUUUUUGACUGUCUGUACCAUUUCUUUGUGCAAACAGUACUUACUUUUCCUGAAUCGUUGCAUUACUUGUAUGUUGUUCCCGUGGUAGCUUUUCAGUGUAUGUGACACUGUACCUCUUUAAUCAUUUUCAAUAAAUCAUUUGCUUCA
rnacentral:misc_RNA from 1 species